rnacentral:rRNA from 1 species
AACUUGCCAGAGAUGGCUUGGUGCCCGAAAGGGAAUCGGAACACAGGUGCUGCAUGGCUGUCGUCAGCUCGUGUCGUGAGAUGUUGGGUUAAGUCCCGCAACGAGCGCAACCCUUAUCAUUAGUUGCUACGCAAGGGCACUCUAAUGAGACUGCCGGUGACAAACCGGAGGAAGGUGGGGAUGACGUCAAGUCCUCAUGGCCCUUAUGGGUAGGGCUCCACACGUCAUACAAUGGUCGGUACAGAGGGUUGCCAAGCCGCGAGGCGGAGCCAAUCCCACAAAGCCGAUCGUAGUCCGGAUUGUUCUCUGCAACUCGAGAGCAUGAAGUCGGAAUCGCUAGUAAUCGCAGGUCAGCAUACUGCGGUGAAUACGUUCCCGGGUCUU